UCGCGCUUGGUUGAAAAGCCAGU
rnacentral:snRNA from 1 species